GGUUAGGUACGUCUUCAGUAGUAGAAAGCAUAACUCGAAAUGAACGUUUAGGGAAAAUUGAAGUUGCAUAUUGCAGAAUUUUUUCCAACAAUUGAAGAUUUAAAUUAAAUUCCGCUUCGCCUAUUUCACUGCUUCCAUGAAUUGCUCGGUCCAUCGCCACAAGCGGUAUAUACUGAAAACCAAAAAUAUCGCUUGUGUUAUGAUAUGCAACGAAAACUCCUUGCAUGUAACCAAGUCUGGCUUGCAGACUAUACUUCAUAAAAGCGGACCUAAUUAAAUCAAAGUACUCUCGCUCGAACGAGAUUCGGUUUCCAUAAUAAUGCGUAAGUUUAUAACUCUUGAACAAUUCCGGCUGUGUCUGAUUCAUACGAACCCCAAAUACAGCUCUCGUCUUCAAAUCAAAGACGCCAGAUUCAGGAAUUUUCUUAUCGUAACAAUCCAGUUGAGAUCUAACCAAAAGCGAAGAACAUCGACCAUACUGAAAGACAUCCUUUAAAG